rnacentral:rRNA from 1 species
AUGUUGUCUCAACAAACUGACUUGUGUUUAUGGCGACUUUUUUAUGUGUCCAUGGAUCAGAGAGGAUGGAUGAUGCAGUGGCCACAUCAAGAGCUAGCAGGAAGGAGGCAGAUGGCUUCCCAUUGUAGUAAGAGACAACACACCAGAUCCGUUGAUGAAGAAAACAACACAUUUCACGAUAUGAUUAUUGGUACUUCCAGUUUUGUUGUACUCUCUCAUUUGCCUUUGUGGGAACGACACUGCUAUAUUGGUUGCUUAUUUAAGAUCAUGCGAUUCCUGACUCCCACCGAUUUUUCUAGGAACAGAUGCCCAUCCUCCCAUGUCCGGUUUUUAGUUUGUUAUGGAAUAUUAACUAUUAUCUGUACUCCUAAAGGGGAGUUUGCGGCGGUGAUGGUGCUUCCACCUUCCAAACUACAAGGUCUGCAGCCUUAG